AUUGAACGCUGGCGGCAGGCCUAACACAUGCAAGUCGAGCGGGGUUUUCGGACCUAGCGGCGGACGGGUGAGUAAUGCGUAGGAAGCUACCCGAUAGAGGGGGAUACCAGUUGGAAACGACUGUUAAUACCGCAUAAUGUCUACGGACCAAAGUGUGGGACCUUCGGGCCACAUGCUAUCGGAUGCGCCUACGUGGGAUUAGCUAGUUGGUGAGGUAAUGGCUCACCAAGGCGACGAUCCCUAGCUGGUUUGAGAGGAUGAUCAGCCACACUGGAACUGAGACACGGUCCAGACUCCUACGGGAGGCAGCAGUGGGGAAUAUUGGACAAUGGGCGCAAGCCUGAUCCAGCCAUGCCGCGUGUGUGAAGAAGGCCUUAGGGUUGUAAAGCACUUUCAGUGGGGAGGAAGCUUGUGUGUUAAUAGUACACAGCGUUGACGUUACCUACAGAAGAAGCACCGGCUAACUCUGUGCCAGCCGCCGCCGUAAAAC
rnacentral:rRNA from 1 species